ACUCUACAAUGGCCAUUCUGACAAGUCAUUACAUAUGACAGGUAAAAAAACAAUUGUGACCAGUAAGAUAAGAAAUGUUACUAGUAACAACCGUAAAAGACACUAGUGUCUAAUAUAUAAGUACUAGUACUUAAUUAAUUACUACUAGUGCCUAUUAAAUAGGUACUAGUAUACAUUGAAUACAAAUCCAGUAUUUAAUAAUAAGUACUAGCAUUUACUGAAUACGUACUAGUAGUAUUAAAAAGAUACUAGUCAUUAUUGUAAUACGUACUAGUCAGAAAUGAGUAACUGAUAUCAAAAACAGAAUAACUACUAGUACCUAUUCAUUUGAAGAUAUCUUCCGCCUUAAAAGGAACUAGUAAGAAUGGGUUUGGAGAUAUCUUGAUUCAAACACAAUAUUGCAUAAACAUGAGCACCCCCUCAGUCAUCCAAUCAGAGUUAACAUACUAAUGCAACGUAUCCUUGGGUAUCGAAGCAGCACUUCCGCCAUGCUUGUCGCCAUAUUUGUGUCUGACAUGGCGGUUAACAACACAUCUUUCGAGACUAAAAUAACUCGAUAUUUGGGAAAAACAUAUAUUAUUAGUUGUGAGCCUUAUGUAUUAGGCUACCUCCAAUUGUGUUUUGUCCCUUACAAUCUGCGACGCGUCUGGCUAAACCUUUCCGGACAUUAAUAUCUUGUACAUAAUCUAUCUCUAUCGCUAUCGCCAUACAGCGGAGAGAGAAAGCAUGCAUCUCAAUACGUCGUUGCAGGGUGUGAGAACCACAACAAUAUGUGGUAUCUGGAGACAAAACAUCUAUUUGUGAAAACAGGACAGGUCAAUCAUUCCUAGGCUCUGAACACAAAAGCAACAUGUCCAUGGAUAGUGGAGCUGGAGGAACGGACAGUGGCGAUGGGACAUUGUUGCAACUCAAGACAAUUAGCAGCACAUAAAACUGCACAUCUGCUGAUGAGUUUACGGUCUGUUGUAAACAGCUCCAAAGUGAAGGCCAAGAAGCAGAGCCCAAAAAAAGUGCAAUCCUGUCAGUCAUCGAAGGCCAUUCCAUCAGAUACAUGCACAAGACUGUACUACUGGAUCUGCCAACACCUCUGACCACUCUUUAUGCAAGCCCCAGGCUUGAAAUGGAUUUGCCCGUACUGCUGGAGGAGGGUGCCGAGACCUUUGAGAAGCUGCAUCUCACACCAGAGCAGAUGGGGUCUAAAAAAUGAGGACACUGCCAGAGAAUCAUACCUGAGGGCGAUGCAGGACCUCCAAGCAGACCUCCACGUUGCAGCAUCUGGACUGAUAAGUAACCCAGAGGUGCCAUGGAUCGGUGGAUCACCAGAUGGUGUGGUGAUGGUGUUAUAGAUGAAGUGUCCUUUCAGUGCAAAAGACCGCACCCUACAUGAAUGUGUAAAAGACUCAAGGUUCUGUCUGACGAAGACUCAAGGUUCUGUCAUUGAGGAAGGUGUAAUGAGCCUAAAGCUUAAUCACAGUUACAUGCAUCAAGUGCAAGCCCAAAUGUGUGUAGCAGAGGUAACAUACUGUGAUUGUCAAGAACUAUUUAUACAGCGCAUCCCAUUUGAUGAUACAAAAAAAAACAAUGUCACAUGUCAAACAAUAGCUGCCAAAACUAAUUUCUUACUGUGUUUGCAACUUACUUUGUGACCCAUUUUACUGAGAUGACAAAUCUGCCAAAUGUCUCUUAUACAUGUACUGUAUGUUAAAGAUGAUGUUUAAGUAAAAACGAAGCAUUAACUUUGUCUGUAGUACAAAUUCAGAAAAUGAAAAAAUAAACAAAAUUCAGAAAUAAAUUCAGAGUACUUAGAACCUACGUUUUUU